rnacentral:rRNA from 1 species
CCUACGGGUGGCAGCAGUGAGGAAUAUUGGUCAAUGGGCGAAAGCCUGAACCAGCCAAGUCGCGUGAGGGAGUACUGCCCUAUGGAUUGUAAACCUCUUUUGUCGGGGAGCAAAAGCAGGACGUGUCCGGCUGUGAGAGUACCCUAAGAAAAAGCAUCGGCUAACUCCGUGCCAGCAGCCGCGGUAAUACGGAGGAUGCGAGCGUUAUCCGGAUUUAUUGGGUGUAAAGGGUGCGCAGGCGGAUUUUUAAGUCAGCGGUAAAAUCGUGGGGCUCAACCCCAUCCAGCCGUUGAAACUGGGGAUCUAGAGUGUGCGAGAGGUAUGCGGAAUGCGUGGUGUAGCGGUGAAAUGCAUAGAUAUCACGCAGAACCCCGAUUGCGAAGGCAGCAUACCGGUGCACAACUGACGCUCAGGCACGAAAGCGUGGGUAUCGAACAGGAUUAGAUACCCUUGUAGUC